rnacentral:rRNA from 1 species
UACGUAGGGGGCUAGCGUUAUCCGGAAUUAUUGGGCGUAAAGAGCGCGCAGGUGGUUGAUUAAGUCUGAUGUGAAAGCCCACGGCUUAACCGUGGAGGGUCAUUGGAAACUGGUCGACUUGAGUGCAGAAGAGGGAAGUGGAAUUCCAUGUGUAGCGGUGAAAUGCGUAGAGAUAUGGAGGAACACCAGUGGCGAAGGCGGCUUCCUGGUCUGUAACUGACACUGAGGCGCGAAAGCGUGGGGAGCAAACAGGAUUAGAUACCCGUGUA